UACAGAGGUCCCGAGCGUUGUUCGGAUUCACUGGGCGUAAAGGGUGCGUAGGUGGCUGGGAAAGUUUGAUGUGAAAGCUCAGGGCUUAACCCUGAAAUGGCAUUGAAUACUGCCUGGCUGGAGGUUUGGAGGGGGACUGGAAUUCUUGGUGUAGCAGUGAAAUGCGUAGAUAUCAAGAGGAACACCAGUGGCGAAGGCGAGUCCCUGGACAACACCUGACACUGAGGCACGAAAGCCGGGGGAGCGAAACAGG
rnacentral:rRNA from 1 species